UACGGAGGGUGCAAGCGUUAUCCGGAUUCACUGGGUUUAAAGGGUGCGUAGGUGGGAAUGUAAGUCAGUGGUGAAAUCUCCGUGCUUAACAUGGAAACUGCCAUUGAUACUAUGUUUCUUGAAUUUUCUGGAGGUAAGCGGAAUAUGUCAUGUAGCGGUGAAAUGCUUAGAUAUGACAUAGAACACCAAUUGCGAAGGCAGCUUACUACGGUGUCAUUGACACUGAGGCACGAAAGCGUGGGGAUCAAACAGG
rnacentral:rRNA from 1 species